rnacentral:rRNA from 1 species
GUGCCAGCCGCCGCGGUAAUACGGAAGGUCCGGGCGUUAUCCGGAUUUAUUGGGUUUAAAGGGAGCGCAGGCGGAGAGCUAAGCGUGACGUGAAAUGUAGCCGCCCAACGGCUGACGUGCGUCGCGAACUGGUUUUCUUGAGUGGGUACGACGUCGGCGGAACUCGUGGUGUAGCGGUGAAAUGCUUAGAUAUCACGAGGAACCCCGAUUGCGAAGGCAGCCGACGAGUCCCUUACUGACGCUAAAGCUCGAAGGUGCGGGUAUCGAACAGGAUUAGAUACCCUGGUAGUCCGCACGGUAAACGAUGGAUGCCCGCUGUUGGCGACACACUGUCAGCGGCCAAGCGAAACGUUAAGCAUCCCACCUGGGGAGUACGCCGGCAACGGUGAAACUCAAAGGAAUUGACGGGGGCCCGCACAAGCGGAGGAACAUGUGGUUUAAUUCGAUGAUACGCGAGGAACCUUACCCGGGCUUGAACUGCCGGCGAACGAUUCAGAGAUGAUGAGGCCCUUCGGGCGCCGGUGGAGGUGCUGCAUGGUUGUCGUCAGCUCGUGCCGUGAGGUGUCGGCUUAAGUGCCAUAACGAGCGCAACCCCUCUCCGUAGUUGCCAUCGGGUUAAGCCGGGCACUCUGCGGACCACUGCCACCGCAAGGUGUGAGGAAGGUGGGGAUGACGUCAAAUCAGCACGGACCUUACGUCCGGGGCUACACACGUGUUACAAUGGGGAGUACAGAGAGCCGGUCUGGGCAACGCCGAUCCAAUCCUUAAAGCUCUCCUCAGUUCGGAUUGGGUCUGCAACCCGACCCCAUGAAGCUGGAUUCGCUAGUAAUCGCGCAUCAGCCAUGGCGCGGUGAAUAAGUUACCGGGCCUUGUACACACCGCCCGU